AAGCAUGUUCAUUGUUUUUUUAACUCUUUCAGUUUAUGGGCACAGUGCUGCAAAGACUGUUCACUGUGUCUGAUCACUGUGAAGGGAUUAUAAAGCCUGUGUCUUGUGCUCAUCAUUUACGUCCGGUAAUUUCUGGUGAAGUGACACGCCUUUGAUCAGGAAGUCAAACCGUGGUCGUGUCACUGUUCGACUGCCCGCAAUUCCCCGAGUGGCCCAGCACAGUUCCGGGAUCAAUGGCGAGAUGUGUUGGCCGUGGCUCUCGGUCGCACAGUGACCUCCUGUGGCCUCCCGAAGAAGUACAGGCCGUUGCUGAGGGAUGACUCUCUCCACCAGCCCAACCCGACUCUCCGGUCGGUGCCUGUGAUGCAUGAGGCGGGGAGUCUGCCCACCCUCUCCGAUCCUCCCUUGCGUGACUGUGAGGGGACCCCCACGCGAGCCGAGAUGUGAAAAAACCAUGACGCUCUGCGCCAGAGGAUCCAAUUUCAGGGAAACAGAGGUGUACUGCAGAGACCCAUUUCAGACCACAGUUUAUCCUCAACUGUAUGAAGGAUGUAGAUUUUCCUAGUCGGGAAACUAUACUUGCAGCUGACAGUGGAAGUGGUAAAAACCUUCAAAAUCAAGGAUUAGGCAUACCAAUCGAAAAAGAAGGUAAGAAGGCGAUGUAAAUAGAAUGGGUAAUUCAGAGCUAAAUAAAUCUAUGCAUAAAAGGGUCUAUGGGAUCAGUAGAUUCUUCUGUUUUCAUGAAGAUAACAAUUAAAAAGCAAAUAAAGCUUCAACAUCUAGCAAAAACUGUGGAACAUAAAUCAAAAUUAGUUAUGCUUUACAACAAACACUAUUGAGACUUGAUAUAGAAUACCGUGGUCAGUUUUGGUUACCACUCCUCUGCAAAGAAUAGAUCUCUUCCUGAAGUUCAAAAAAGAGCAGGAAGACAUUACUGGUCUCUGGGGCUUGUCAGAUAUGAGCAGGCUGUAAGAGCAGAGGAGGAAGGGUCAGGGCUAUGCGUGUAAAUGACCGAAUGAAGGAGUAGCCAGUGCCUCUCCGGAUGAAAGCAGUGACACAGCAGACUGACACCUGUGCGUCUGGUCCAUGGAGGUGUUACUGAUCCCACUCCACGAGUCCAUGGUAAAGGUGCCUUCGGCUUUAUUCUUUUAACUUAACUUUUAUUGCAGAGGAGACGUGCAGUCCUUUCAGCGAGAGUUGGAGAAACUCUUGGGGAAAACAGUCUGGGCACAGAGCGCUCUGUUGGUUAAGAUCUGAAUUGUCC
rnacentral:lncRNA from 1 species